rnacentral:lncRNA from 1 species
UGCUAAAGAAAAAAAUAUUAACUCCUGACAGAGAUAUGCAAAAGUAUGUUAUAUAAUAUGCUUGAAGCAAUAAGAUUUUAGGAAAAAUGCAUGAUCAUAUUAGGAAUAAGAUGCCAUGGGUGAGAUUAGGAAUUAUCUCACCAUUAGAUAAACUCAAGAAGAUGAUACCUAAUUUAAGUCACUUUCGAGAACAAGUCACUACAACCGCGACUAAGGUGGUCUACAUGACUGAAACACUCUAACACCAAGUAUAUGUAUAGAUGCAACUUUAACAGAGGUUG